CGUAACACCAAGGGGAAGUUUAGUAAAUAAUGGAGUUUCCAGAAGGUGCAUGGUUAAGUCUGCGUGGGGAGAUUACAGUUUGGAUGGUGGUGAAACGGAUUGGAUGAACAGAUUCAACAACUUCAUGAGAAACAAAUUCUAAGGGCGUAUGACUGAAGAGUUCAUAAAAAUUUUGGAGUUAAAUUUACCUAAAGUUUAGUUUUUGGGCCGAAGAUAAAUUAGUGUCCGCUUUCAUUUUGAAAGUUUCAUUAUUGAGAGUUGUGCAAGCAUUACACCAAGUACUUCAGAGUCGAGUGUUGUAUUGGAUGAUUCCACAACAUUUAUGGUCCCUUUGAUUAGUACAUGGAAAGGUGGAAGGAGAAGGCCCUUGCUUCUUUUCGUAGGAAGGCGCGGACAUUCACUUAAAGAUUUUAGUUGUGGAGAGAUAAUCUACAGACCCGAACCUUCACUUCCAUUGAUGAAUGUAUUGAGGGUGCCCUGAAAUAGUAAUUAACAAAAGCCUCGUAAUUAUCCUCUUAAAUCUCUAGUUCCAGGUUCAUGAAUCAUUUUGAACUACAAUGUUUCUUAAAAUACCUUAUAUUUAAAUCUCAUCAGUAGUCGUUCACGUUUUAUUUUUAAAUGCACAUCACUAUUGUUAUCCCCCUUCUGCUCAAUUUUUAUUUUGCAGAUAGAAAGUAUUACGGUAGGGAUUUUAGCACUUCAGAUUACUUAUAGAGAACGUAUUUCGUUGAAUUGUCAAAAAUGGGAUCAUCAAUUGCUCUUAAGUCUUAUCAAAUUUUGAAGUUCUGGCAUGGAAACUUUGUAAACGGUGAUCUAAACUACUUCUAUUUAGGUUGACAAAAUCGGACUUCUAGGAGCCAGUGAACAUCGGAAUUGAUGAGAUGGUUAGCAUGAACAAAUGGCUGGGAUAUUUCCUGUCGUAUAAUGGCUCUCUUGCUUUAGCACUCUCAAUCAUCACUGACUUCUGAAAGAUAAUGGUGACUUAAUGGUUCAAGCGGUUGUCGACACGCAAUUAGAAAUUGACAAAAUGAUUCAAAAAGCCCUUAUGUCGGAUGGUUAUAAGCUACUUUUAAAUAAAUGCCGGUCAUCAUUUCGAAUUUCAAUUUUGUUUGUUUUGUGGCAUGUGGUGCCUGCCCCAACUUGUUUGGGAAUGAAAGCUUUAUUAUUGUUAUCUGGAAAGGGUUGAUGCUUGCUGAGAUAAUGAACAAUUUUGCAUCCACUACAUUAGUUGAAAUCGAUGAGACAGUCACUCUAUUUCCCAGUCAUUACAAUAGUUUAUUUGCAUUUACUAGUUAUUUCUUUGUUAGUCACUGCAAGUCCUUGUUUAAUCUUUAUUUGUUUGCAUCUAUCUCUUUGUUAAUCUUCAUUAGAUACUUAUGACUUGUUUUGUGCUGUCAGGAUAUGAAAAUGCAAUUCAAGCUAGUUGAUCUAUUAGUUUCUGACAUGAAACCAAGUGCAGAAGCUUCCUAUUUCAAGUGUUGCAGAUUCCUUUUCUUCAGGGACACCACCUGACAAGAACUGGUUACGUGAAAUUUCACUGAUGCUCCCUUGGUAGUUUUUUUAUAGUGAUUUGCUUUUUGGAUUUCUGUAUGUUUCUUAAAUUAUUUUUGGAUUUGGAACUGAUUGACGUGUGUUUAGUGAAUUUUACUUUAGAACUUGAUUAUUUGUAGUGAACACAAGUUUAUUUCAAUUUCGGAUUCUUGUUUCGUUUCAAUCAUAUUUUAUUUGAGCUAGAGAUUCAGUUGAACCAAAUCUUUUUUUUUUUUAGUAUUAUGAAUUAAUGAAACGUCUGCUUCCACCAGCUGGCUAUUAUGGGUUGUUCAAGGCAGUCGGUUUUAAAGGUUUUAAGUGUUUUUCUGGCAGACGUUGUUUUUACAGUUUCCACUCUACAUAUGGUCUGCAGGUACAUGACAAAAGUCCCAUUUGACACUUUGGGAUUUAUGUUUACAGGGAGCAACAAUAUGUAUAUCUCAUAUUACAUCUUGGGUUUGCUCAGAUUUUGACAUUUAAGAAAUCUCAAACAACAUGAUCAUACAUGUAAACAUCUGAUAAUAAUUCCAAAAGAGACAACAAUUAUAUUUAGGUGGGAUUAAGUGCUCAACAUGUAAAACUUUCCAGUAAUGGGAAAUAGAAAUAGUGGCAUUUGAUUGUUUCUAUUCUAAAAGUUAAUGGUUUUCAUUUUUUACCUUUUAUUAAUCGGAAUUUAUUAAAUUAAUUAAGAGUUAUUUGUUGGUAAUUUGAAGUUAAUUAUUGGUAAUUUGGCAUUAAUACAACCUGGAUAUUACAUUGCAAGUGUUCAGGGAAGACAUUACUUCACAUGGAAGAUAUGGUUCUUUGGAAUGUGUUUAAGAAUGGGUUGCAUGAGGAGCAGAUCGAAUUGAAAAGAAUGCAACUGCGAAAUUCGGUAAAAAUUAAGGAGCGUUCCAUAUGUCAGCAUUGAAGUAUAAGUGCGGAGCAUGUAGAAGAGUCCAGGGAGAACUGUGACAAGCUACAAUGUAAAUUCAAGCAGAUGUGGAAUUGCUAGCUCAUGUCCCCUGCAGCCUUCCAUAUCACAAACUAUCUGUGGAGGCUAAAACAAAGUUAUCAAAGUGAGAAUUUAAAGAAAAUCUGUGUUAGUUGUAGAGGAAAUUGUGCAUGCCGUUAGUAAGUGGACCAGCAUAAGCUCCACCAGAUUUGAUUGAUCCUAAACAAAAGGCGGAGUCAGAUUACUGAGGAGAUAGUUUGUGAUGAGCAUCUAAAUGUGAUUGAUACAACUAAAGUCAUAAUAGCACAAGAUAAUCACAAUAAGUAUUCUUUUGGUCAUUUAUGGGAUCUGAUAGAUGAGUUAAAGCUUCUUAUGUUGUUUGAAUUAGAGAUUCAAUCGUAGAUGUCGGUUAGGAAUGUGAUUGGGAUUGUGUCCAAAACCAAUAUUUAUAUGGAUUUGACAGUACUUUAACUA